GACGAACCGUGCGAACGUUGUUCGGAAUCACUGGGCUUAAAGGGCGCGUAGGCGGGCGGUCAAGUCGGAGGUGAAAGCCUGCAGCUCAACUGCAGAAGUGCCCCCGAUACUGAUGGCCUCGAGGGAGGUAGGGGCGUGCGGAACUUCCGGUGGAGCGGUGAAAUGCGUAGAUAUCGGAAGGAACACCGGUGGCGAAAGCGGCGCGCUGGAUCCCUACUGACGCUGAGGCACGAAAGCCAGGGGAGCAAACGGGG
rnacentral:rRNA from 1 species